CAUAUACACCCUCUAUUCGGAAUUACUUGUCGCGGGUAUGGAUGUAUCUAGAUGUAUUUUAUUUCUAGAUACAUCCAUUUCUUCGACGAGUAAUUUGGAUUGGAGGGAGUAGCAU
rnacentral:pre_miRNA from 1 species